rnacentral:rRNA from 1 species
AGAGUUUGAUCCUGGCUCAGAUUGAACGCUGGCGGCAGGCCUAACACAUGCAAGUCGAGCGGUAGCACAGAGAGCUUGCUCUCGGGUGACGAGCGGCGGACGGGUGAGUAAUGUCUGGGAAACUGCCUGAUGGAGGGGGAUAACUACUGGAAACGGUAGCUAAUACCGCAUAACGUCGCAAGACCAAAGUGGGGGACCUUCGGGCCUCAUGCCAUCAGAUGUGCCCAGAUGGGAUUAGCUAGUAGGUGGGGUAACGGCUCACCUAGGCGACGAUCCCUAGCUGGUCUGAGAGGAUGACCAGCCACACUGGAACUGAGACACGGUCCAGACUCCUACGGGAGGCAGCAGUGGGGAAUAUUGCACAAUGGGCGCAAGCCUGAUGCAGCCAUGCCGCGUGUGUGAAGAAGGCCUUCGGGUUGUAAAGCACUUUCAGCGGGGAGGAAGGCGUUAAGGUUAAUAACCUUGGCGAUUGACGUUACCCGCAGAAGAAGCACCGGCUAACUCCGUGCCAGCAGCCGCGGUAAUACGGAGGGUGCAAGCGUUAAUCGGAAUUACUGGGCGUAAAGCGCACGCAGGCGGUCUGUCAAGUCGGAUGUGAAAUCCCCGGGCUCAACCUGGGAACUGCAUUCGAAACUGGCAGGCUAGAGUCUUGUAGAGGGGGGUAGAAUUCCAGGUGUAGCGGUGAAAUGCGUAGAGAUCUGGAGGAAUACCGGUGGCGAAGGCGGCCCCCUGGACAAAGACUGACGCUCAGGUGCGAAAGCGUGGGGAGCAAACAGGAUUAGAUACCCUGGUAGUCCACGCCGUAAACGAUGUCGAUUUGGAGGUUGUGCCCUUGAGGCGUGGCUUCCGGAGCUAACGCGUUAAAUCGACCGCCUGGGGAGUACGGCCGCAAGGUUAAAACUCAAAUGAAUUGACGGGGGCCCGCACAAGCGGUGGAGCAUGUGGUUUAAUUCGAUGCAACGCGAAGAACCUUACCUGGUCUUGACAUCCACAGAACUUUCCAGAGAUGGAUUGGUGCCUUCGGGAACUGUGAGACAGGUGCUGCAUGGCUGUCGUCAGCUCGUGUUGUGAAAUGUUGGGUUAAGUCCCGCAACGAGCGCAACCCUUAUCCUUUGUUGCCAGCGGUUCGGCCGGGAACUCAAAGGAGACUGCCAGUGAUAAACUGGAGGAAGGUGGGGAUGACGUCAAGUCAUCAUGGCCCUUACGACCAGGGCUACACACGUGCUACAAUGGCAUAUACAAAGAGAAGCGACCUCGCGAGAGCAAGCGGACCUCAUAAAGUAUGUCGUAGUCCGGAUUGGAGUCUGCAACUCGACUCCAUGAAGUCGGAAUCGCUAGUAAUCGUAGAUCAGAAUGCUACGGUGAAUACGUUCCCGGGCCUUGUACACACCGCCCGUCACACCAUGGGAGUGGGUUGCAA